rnacentral:lncRNA from 1 species
AAGGAGGUCGCCAAUAAAUCCACACCAAACGGCGCACCAUAAUCUCACUUUCUCAAUUUCAAACUUACCCAUAAAGACCAACAACAACUGAAAAGGAAAAAGAGAAAAAAGUUGAGACACAAAAGAGGGUCUUUUUCUUUUCACACUUCCCUUGUCAUUUUUUUACUCCUAGCUUUUUUUCUUUCACAUAAUACACACACCACAUGCUACAAAACAUCUCAACAAAUGACCUGUAGGCAGAAGGAGAAACAGAGCAACAUAAACUCUCAUAAGUUUUUUCAUUAUCUCCUUCACAAAACCAUAAACCAUGAAGUAACCACUAUCAAACGACAUACUCCUAUCUUCCUCUCCACUCUCCAACAGUAACAUGUUGUUUUUUCCUCUUCAUUGAACCAAAACAUAACUUCCAUCACCAUUCAAAAACUCUCCCAUCUUCAUUUCACUACAACCACCUCCAUCUGCAUUUUUCUUCAUCGACUAACCAUCUUACUUCACUGCCAUGCAUACAAAACACCCUUCAUUUCCACCCUCAAACACGACCUACACAAGCCAAUAAACGUCCUACAAACCUUUAUCUGUGAGAACCAAAAAAACCACUAACACACACAAGCCAACCACUUAAACCUCCACCUCAUCUUACAACUAUCACCAUCUUCAUCGAAAACAAACAUCCACUGCACAUAACACAUACACCUUCAUUCUUCUAUUCACUCGCGAUAACAAACUCUCCAACAAUCAUACAACAUACUAUCCUCACGCUUGCAAUAAAAAAUUCAACAUCAAAUCUUCAUCAACCACCAUUUAUAACCUAAAACCUCCUUCACUCACCUCAUCACAACUGAUACAAAUCGUUGCACUAAACACAUUAACCUAUCCAAACUUUCAAUAACAACACGACUCAUUCAAACCCUGGAGAGAAAAAAUAAAGGGGUCAUAACACAAUAUUUCAAAAGAAAAAGGAGAAGAAGAAGGUUUUAAAGCAGAUUCAAAUUCCUCACGCCUCGUCGUAAGAUGCAUGUCCUCAUCCGCCCAGCGCAAACCACGUCGGAGGCGAUUUGUUUCGCACUUUUGUCUGCAUCACCAAAAAUCGAUUUCGUCCUCACCUUUCCUUCACGCUACACGCAAUCCUUCCCUUUCCGAUUGUCAUUGAUCCCUCUCCAUUUCCGCAUCACAUGUAGUAUUUCUAUGACCUCUUACUUUCCUUUGUUUUCAUUUGAUUUCGGUUAAGUGAAAUUGAAGGUUUUGGGAUUAUGGUUGUUGUUAGAGUAUGAGAAAUUUGAGAGGAAAUGAAUGUUCUGUUUUCUGCAUUGAGACACUAAAAGAUCGUUUUGGUGGUUUGUUUGUUCACGAUGAGAAAAAGAGAUGUCCUUACUCUAUUUUUGUUGAUUUUGUUUCUAUAUAUCCUCGUCAUGUGUCCACACCCCAUUGGGGUUAUAUGUCAUUUGAAUUUGAUGACUUGUUAAAGGGUAGGAGUGCCCCUCUUGGGGUUCAACAUGCAUUUUUUUCUUUUUAUUUUUAUUACUAUUGUUUUCAUUAUUUAUUCUUAUGAUAUAAUUAGGAUUUUAGUAGUAGUUGGAUUGGGCUCAUGUCAAAUUGAUGGUUACACUCUCAUG